rnacentral:lncRNA from 1 species
UUAUAAGCAAAAUUUAUCAUCGAAGGCUUAUUUCGGUCGUCUGACUGAUUAAUUGACAAUUAAACCUUUGAGAGGUAAAGAAUGUAGGCCGAGAAAAUUAUCAAGGGCAAACUUAUAGGUUUAUAUAUGCGCACGUGAAUCUAUGAUCUUUUCGCUAAACUAAAUAUUUUAUAUGCAUAUUUGUUUUUAUAAUUGAUCUAAUAUUAUCUGCCGGCCCCAUGCUUCAAAGAGCCUAAAUGAUACACUUAGUUGAAUGUUGUAUUUGUUUGCCCAAAAAUAUAGAACUUGGUUUUAUUAAUUAAUUUUGUAUAAAUGAGGAUUAUUUUAUCUAACAAUAAUAUCCCUAAAAUAGAGUUCUCAAAAGUGCAAUCAAUACUACGUAGGUUUAUUUAGGUAGCAGCAGCGACAUAUAAGUCAAGAAAUCAAAGGUAAUAAUAUAGCAUUAAAUAUUGAUGCAUAAUAAUAAAUGACAUUUAAGUAAAUAGAAUGAAGGAAUCACCCAAGAAAGAAUAGAACCACUGAAUGUUCUUUCUGAUAAUUAUGAGCGAUGGACAAUCCUUUGAAUAUUUGAGUUAUUCUCGAAUCUAGCGAAAAAGUACAGACAAGAAUCUUAGUAAAAAAAGUGAUAUUUGUAUGCUUGCAAUAAAUCUGAUUCUCUCUCUAAA